rnacentral:rRNA from 1 species
AGGACGAACGCUGGCGGCGUGCUUAACACAUGCAAGUCGAGCGGAAAGGCCCUUCGGGGUACUCGAGCGGCGAACGGGUGAGUAACACGUGAGCAACCUGCCCCUGGCUCUGGGAUAGCUCCGGGAAACCGGGAUUAAUACCGGAUAUGACCUUCCGUUGCAUGACGGCGGGUGGAAAGUUUUUCGGCUGGGGAUGGGCUCGCGGCCUAUCAGCUUGUUGGUGGGGUGAUGGCCUACCAAGGCGACGACGGGUAGCCGGCCUGAGAGGGCGGACGGCCACACUGGGACUGAGACACGGCCCAGACUCCUACGGGAGGCAGCAGUGGGGAAUAUUGCGCAAUGGGCGGAAGCCUGACGCAGCGACGCCGCGUGGGGGAUGAAGGCCUUCGGGUUGUAAACCUCUUUCAGCAGGGGCGAAGCGAAGUGACGGUACCUGCAGAAGAAGCGCCGGCUAACUACGCGCCAGCAGCCGC